rnacentral:tRNA from 1 species
GUCUAUAUAGUAUACACAUUACGAUAUUUUUUCAUAAUAUAAAAAAAGUCUAGACUUUUUUAGAUAC